AAAUAAGAAGCAAAUUUUGCAUUUAAUUUCGACUUAAAAAUCUGAUAAUCACUAUCCUUAUUUU
rnacentral:tRNA from 1 species